rnacentral:rRNA from 1 species
AUUGAACGCUGGCGGCAUGCUUUACACAUGCAAGUCGAACGGCAGCGCGGGGCAACCUGGCGGCGAGUGGCGAACGGGUGAGUAAUAUAUCGGAACGUACCCAGAAGUGGGGGAUAACGUAGCGAAAGUUACGCUAAUACCGCAUACGAUCUACGGAUGAAAGUAGGGGACCGCAAGGCCUUAUGCUUUUGGAGCGGCCGAUAUCUGAUUAGCUAGUUGGUGAGGUAAAGGCUCGCCAAGGCGACGAUCAGUAGCUGGUCUGAGAGGACGACCAGCCACACUGGAACUGAGACACGGUCCAGACUCCUACGGGAGGCAGCAGUGGGGAAUUUUGGACAAUGGGCGCAAGCCUGAUCCAGCAAUGCCGCGUGAGUGAAGAAGGCCUUCGGGUUGUAAAGCUCUUUUGUCAGGGAAGAAACGGUAGAGGCUAAUAUCCUUUGCUAAUGACGGUACCUGAAGAAUAAGCACCGGCUAACUACGUG